GAACCACAUGGAGGAUCUUUGAGGCUGUACAUGCUGUGUUUCCUGCCUUGUGUGCGUUAUUGCUCUAUAAACCACACACCCAAACACGUAACCAUACACACCUGUAACCUGUCUUCUUGAUAAUGCUUGGAAUAAAAGAAUUGUGGAAUUGAAA